GCGGGGGUGGCAGAGCCUGGUAACUUCUUUCUUUCGCGAAAGAAAGACCUUAACUAGAAAGAAAGGCUUUUUGCAACAAGAAUGAAGUCAGGAACAAAUGCACAGGACUGAGGCUCCUGUCCCAUAGAGGGUGCGAGGGUUCUGACUCAACUAAAAGAAAGGCACGUCUUUCAGCUUUUUUCUGCGGAAAAAACCUGGGAAAAAAGAAAGACCUGCACUAGAAAAAGAGGCAAAAGUCGCCCAAAAAUCCCUCCCCCCGCA
rnacentral:tRNA from 1 species